rnacentral:rRNA from 1 species
GCCUACGGGGGGCAGCAGUGAGGAAUAUUGGUCAAUGGACGAAAGUCUGAACCAGCCAUGCCGCGUGCAGGAUGACGGCUCUAUGAGUUGUAAACUGCUUUUGUAUUAGGGUAAACACCCCUACGUGUAGGGGCUUGAAAGUAUAAUACGAAUAAGGAUCGGCUAACUCCGUGCCAGCAGCCGCGGUAAUACGGAGGAUUCAAGCGUUAUCCGGAUUUAUUGGGUUUAAAGGGUGCGUAGGCGGUCGGAUAAGUUAGAGGUGAAAUCCCGAGGCUCAACUUCGGAAUUGCCUCUGAUACUGUUCG